AUUGAACGCUGGCGGCAGGCUUAACACAUGCAAGUCGAGCGAGAGGCGGACGGGUGAGUAAUGUCUGGGAAACUGCCUGAUGGAGGGGGAUAACUACUGGAAACGGUAGCUAAUACCGCAUACCAUCAGAUGUGCCCAGAUGUGAUUAGCUAGUAGGUGGGGUAAUGGCUCCCCUAGGCGACGAUCCCUAGCUGGUCUGAGAGGAUGACCAGCCACCCUGGAACGGAGACACGUUCCAGACGCCUACGGGAGGCAGCAGUGGGGAACAUUGCACAAGGGGCUCAAGCCUGAUGCAGCCAUGCCGCGUGUGUGAAGAAUGCCUUCGGGUUGUAAAGCACUUUCAGCGAGGAGGCGUUACUCUCAGAAGAAGCACCGGCUAACGCCGUGCCAGCAGCCGCGGUAAUAC
rnacentral:rRNA from 1 species